UACCCUACUGAUGGCCGCGUCACAAUAGUAAUUCAACCUAGUACGAGAGGAACCGUUGAUUCGCACAAUUGGUCUUCGCACUUGGUUGAAAAGCCAGUGGCUCGAAGCUACCGUGCGCUGGAUUAUGACCGAUUGCCGACCUGCAGUAGGGGCCUUUGGCCCCCAAGGGCACGUGUUGUAGGUGCAGCGACCGCGGUGGACAAGUCGCAGGCGCCUCUUUGGAGCGUAAUUCCCACCGAGCGGAGGGUAGAAUCCUUUGCAGACAACGUAAAUACGCGACGGGGUAUUGUAAGUGGCAGAGUGGCCUUGCUGCCACGAUCCACUGAGAUUCAGCCCUUUGUC
rnacentral:ncRNA from 1 species